ensembl:lincRNA Gm38150 predicted gene, 38150
GCCUCUCUUAUGGGAGGGAGUCCUGCUGUUUGCACUCAACAGCGCCGCAGGAGUCCACUUUUAUUCUUAACAGUUUCAAUCUAACUUUGAGGGCUCCUCCCUCUGGCCUCCCUCUGAGGCUAUCUGGGCAUUUAGGUAGUUUCCAAUUCUCAGUGGAAAUUAACCCCCAGGACAUCCAUCAUUAAACAUGAAGGUUUUCCCCCACUUUCCUGAAAGUUACUGAGGACAAUUCUCAGAAGUGGAAAUCAUGGGGCCCAAAGAACUGAGAGUUCUCUUUGAAGCUAUCAUCAAAACUAUCUUCUAAAAGGCCUGUCCAGAGCCCAGCAGUACAACAUGGCCACCAUUAGCCAUCCCACUGUGGGGAAAAUGUGUGUGUGUGUGUGUGUGUGUGUGUGUGUGUGUGGUGUAGAAGCCAAAGGUCUUGCUGACCUGGCACUGGAACCCAAUAAAUAACCUAGACUCACUAA